rnacentral:rRNA from 1 species
UACGUAGGGUGCGAGCGUUAAUCGGAAUUACUGGGCGUAAAGCGUCCGCAGGUGGCACUUCAAGUCUGUCGUCAAAGACUGGGGCUUAACCCUGGAAAGGCGGUGGAAACUGAAGCGCUAGAGUGCGGUAGGGGUAGAGGGAAUUCCCGGUGUAGCGGUGAAAUGCGUAGAGAUCGGGAAGAACAUCGGUGGCGAAAGCGCUCUGCUGGACUGCAACUGACAUUGAGGGACGAAAGCUAGGGGAGCGAAUGGG